rnacentral:rRNA from 1 species
UACGUAGGCAGCGAGCGUUGUUCGGAGUUACUGGGCGUAAAGGGUGUGUAGGCGGUUCUUUAAGUUUGGUGUGAAAUCUCCCGGCUCAACCGGGAGGGUGCGCCGAAUACUGAGGGACUAGAGUACGGGAGAGGAAAGUGGAAUUCCUGGUGUAGCGGUGAAAUGCGUAGAUAUCAGGAGGAACACCGGUGGUGUAGACGGCGUUCUGGACCGUAACUGACGCUGAGACACGAAAGCGUGGGUAGCAAACAGG